AUGUACUACUGCGCCGGCUGCACCGACCCCUCCUGCUCCUCAAUCUCAUCGCUGGACUCGUUUCCAUCCCACGACUUGAGCAGCGAUGAGAUGGCUGAAACAAGGCUGAAGAACUCAGCAGGCUUGGCCGCCGGGGCCGGCGCCGCUCCAGCUUCUUGGAAUCAUUUCCAGGCCGGACGCAUGGGCGCCGCUGCUAAUAGUAAUCCCUCCUCCAGCUCCUCCUCCUCCUUAUCGUCCUGGGACUCGUUUCCCUCCGACAUGAGCAGCGGCGAGACGGUUGGCGCGGAAACGAGUCCUUGGCCCAAGAAGCGAGCAGCGUCAGCUGCGCCGUCGUACAUCGGCGUGCGCGCGCGGCCGUGGGGUCGGUUCGCGGCGGAGAUCCGGGACUCGACGCGGGGCGGCGCGCGGGUCUGGCUGGGCACCUUCGGCACCGCCGAGGCCGCCGCCAUGGCCUACGACCAGGCGGCGCUCUCCUCGCGAGGCACGGCCACCGCACUCAACUUCCCUAUGGAGCGCGUCCAGGAGUCGCUCCAUGCCCUGGGGGCCACGUCCACUGGCAUGGACGGAUCGCCCGUUCUGGCGCUCAAACGGCGCCACUCCAAGAGAAGAAGGCGCAGCAAGGUCGAGAUAGCGAACGACGCGGCGACGGCGAGGAUGAGGAAGAACAAGACGAUGGCCAUGCAGGAGGGUCCCGUCGUGGAGCUGGAGGACCUCGGCGCCGACUACCUGGACGAGCUUCUUAGGAUUACGUGGGGUACAGCUUACCAAUAA
rnacentral:rRNA from 1 species